rnacentral:rRNA from 1 species
AUUGAACGCUGGCGGCAGGCCUAACACAUGCAAGUCGAGCGAGCGGCGGACGGGUGAGUAAUGUAUGGGGACUGCCCGAUAGAGGGGGAUAACUACUGGAAACGGUGGCUAAUACCGCAUACUAUCGGAUAACCCAUAUGGGAUUAGCUAGUAGGUGGGGUAAAGGCUCACCUAGGCGGCGAUCUCUAGCUGGUCUGGGAGGAUGAUACGCCCAACUGGGACUGAAGCCAGGACCAGAAACCUUCGGAGGCAGCAGUGGGGAAUAUUGCACAAAGGGCGCAAGCCUGAUGCAGCCAUGCCGCGUGUAUGAAGAAGGCCUUAGGGUUGUAAAGUACUUUCAGCGGGGAGGCGUUACCCGCAGAAGAAGCACCGGCUAACUCCGUGCCAGCAGCCGCGGUAAUUC